rnacentral:rRNA from 4 species
GCUGAUGCGUUGUUGGGUAGGGGAGCGUUCUGUAAGCCUGUGAAGGUGGCCUGUGAGGGUUGCUGGAGGUAUCAGAAGUGCGAAUGCUGACAUAAGUAACGAUAAAGCGGGUGAAAAGCCCGCUCGCCGGAAGACCAAGGGUUCCUGUCCAACGUUAAUCGGGGCAGGGUGAGUCGACCCCUAAGGCGAGGCCGAAAGGCGUAGUCGAUGGGAAACGGGUUAAUAUUCCCGUACUUGGUGUUACUGCGAAGGGGGGACGGAGAAGGCUAUGUUGGCCGGGCGACGGUUGUCCCGGUUUAAGCGUGUAGGUGUGUGUUCCAGGUAAAUCCGGUUCACUUUAACACUGAGGCGUGAUGACGAGGCACUACGGUGCUGAAGCAACAAAUGCCCUGCUUCCAGGAAAAGCCUCUAAGCAUCAGGUAACAUCAAAUCGUACCCCAAACCGACACAGGUGGUCAGGUAGAGAAUACCAAGGCGCUUGAGAGAACUCGGGUGAAGGAACUAGGCAAAAUGGUGCCGUAACU